GACGAACGCUGGCGGCGUGCUUAACACAUGCAAGUCGAACGGAAAGGCCCUGCUUUUGUGGGGUGCUCGAGUGGCGAAAGGGUGAGUAACACGUGAGUAACCUGCCCUUGACUUUGGGAUAACUUCAGGAAACUGGGGCUAAUACCGGAUAGGAGCUCCUGCUGCAUGGUGGGGGUUGGAAAGUUUCGGCGGUUGGGGAUGGACUCGCGGCUUAUCAGCUUGUUGGUGGGGUAGUGGCUUACCAAGGCUUUGACGGGUAGCCGGCCUGAGAGGGUGACCGGCCACAUUGGGACUGAGAUACGGCCCAGACUCCUACGGGAGGCAGCAGUGGGGAAUAUUGCACAAUGGGCGGAAGCCUGAUGCAGCAACGCCGCGUGCGGGAUGGCGGCCUUCGGGUUGUAAACCGCUUUCGCCUGUGACGAAGCGUGAGUGACGGUAAUGGGUAAAGAAGCACCGGCUAACUACGUG
rnacentral:rRNA from 1 species